AACGAACGCUGGCGGAAGGCUUAACACAUGCAAGUCGAGCGCGCCCUUCGGGGUGAGCGGCAGACGGGUGAGUAACGCGUGGGAACGUACCUUUUGGUUCGGAAUAGCCCUUGGAAACGAGGAGUAAUGCCGAAUAAGCCCCUUGGGGGAAAGAUUUAUCGCCAAAAGAUCGGCCCGCGUUAGAUUAGCUUGUUGGUGAGGUAAAAGCUCACCAAGGCGACGAUCUAUAGCUGGUCUGAGAGGAUGAUCAGCCACACUGGGACUGAGACACGGCCCAGACUCCUACGGGAGGCAGCAGUGGGGAAUCUUGGACAAUGGGCGAAAGCCUGAUCCAGCCAUUCCGCGUGGAUGAUGAAGGCCUUAGGGUUGUAAAAUCCUUUCAGCAGGGAAGAUAAUGACGGUACCUGCAGAAGAAGCCCCGGCUAACUCCG
rnacentral:rRNA from 1 species